rnacentral:rRNA from 1 species
UACAGAGGUCCCAAGCGUUGUUCGGAUUCACUGGGCGUAAAGGGUGCGUAGGCGGUCGGGUAAGUCUGAUGUGAAAUCUCACAGCUUAACUGUGAAACUGCAUUGGAUACUAUCCGGCUAGAGGAAUGGAGGGGAGACUGGAAUACUUGGUGUAGCAGUGAAAUGCGUAGAUAUCAAGGGGAACACCAGUGGCGAAGGCGAGUCUCUGGACAUUUCCUGACGCUGAGGCGCGAAAGCCAGGGGAGCGAACGGG